CCGGACUGCUCGGGGUUAGGCUGGGCAUCGGUCAGCGCGUGAGUCCCAGUCAAGAAACUGCCUUUAGGAAGUGGAAUUUGUGUCGAUUAGUCAACCACCAACAGCUGCAAACAGGAGUGACCAGCAUGU